UGCAACCUCCGCCUCCUGGGCUCAAGUGAUUCUCGUGCCUCAGCCUCCUGAGUAGCUGGGACUACAGGUCACAGAAUUUUCCACACUCCUUGACGGAGGUGCUUAACCCUUAUCCAUCAGCAUUCUCAGACAGCACCUCCGGUUAGGGACAGUAUCUGACCGUCCGACAUCCCUGCAGCCCCCAUGUGUCACACAGACUCAGCCUCAGGUAGAUGGUUUCCGUAGAUGGUGGCUUUCUUUGGACCCUUGACAUCAACCAGUUACUAUUUGGUCUAGGGGUUUCACCAACGCUGCUCAUCUAGCAGGGCCACACAUAACAAAUAGAAGCAGAGCAAGCCCUGGAACUCCUGCCUGACAGUGACACGACGACAGAAACAUCUUACCAGUCAGAGGACCAUGAGAAAUAGAUUCAAGGAGCAUUCCACGUGCAAGUGAGUCUUGGCCCCAUCUGCCUUUGGAUUUUAGCCGUGAACUGGAAGGUAUUGGAAAGAAGACCCUCAGAAAUAGCUUAAUCAAAAUCCCUGCGUCUGAACCAAGUGCCUUAUUUCUCUGUGGGCCUCAAGCUUCGCUGACAUCUGUGGAGCACACUGUCCUAACAGGAGUGCUGUCUGAUUUCCCAACGCUCUGCAAAAGAAACAGCCUGGAAGGGUGGCUGGUG
rnacentral:antisense_RNA from 1 species